rnacentral:lncRNA from 1 species
UGGUAUGAUAGGAUUCCAAACACAUGAAUACUUGUUAUCACCUAUAAAUCAAUUCAAAACUUACUUUUUUGGACAAAAAACUCAUGUAUUGCAUUAAUAGGUUGGUUUUUCUGCAGAGAGAGUUGGACACUACUAUGUACCCCAAAGCUGGCUGCGUUUAGUUGAAAUAAAACCUAUAGGUUGUGCCUUCAUUGAAGUGCUUUGGUUGUGUAGCUUGGGGACUCGAGCCUCAACCACCGGGAAGAAAGCUUGGACCACACCAGACGGUGCAAUGUCUCAUGCCAUUAAAUUUGGUAGCUUGGAGGCCAUUUAUAACACCCUCCCAUACUAAGAAAAACCUCAUUACUCCUUUCCCAACAUCAUCAUAAUAAUAAGCGCC